rnacentral:lncRNA from 1 species
AGAUGGGCACGGCUCCGUGCAACUGUGCAUGCGUUGUCCGUGCAGUAGGUCUACGCGCAUGGCCUUGUGCACGAAAAGCCUCCCCGUCCACGUGGGCCCCGCGCACUGCUAGCUCGCACAUGCACGACCAUUUUGGGAUGUGCGCCUGCACACAUGUCCCAUCUAUACGGGGCACAAGGCGCACAGUCUGCGCGCUUCACAUUGCACGUAAAUGGGCGCUCGUGUUUGCACGCACCGCCGAUUAAGUGAC